UGAAGAUGUUGAAGAGAACUGGGGUUAAGAAACCCCACUUGUGACCAGUGACCAGCCUGAUUCUCUUGGGGAUAGUUUAUUAUCCCAUCCUGUUUUUGGGGUCUUUGAUCUGUUUUGUUUUGUGCCCAGGGGUGGCAGCUGUCCCCGCCCCACCCCCCAUCCUCCCUGGCUCCGGGGAGUUGGGGGCGGGGCGAGCAGCAGUCUCUGCUCUUUCGGAGGGCGGUUCCACAGGACACACGCGGCCGGUAUCUCUGACCAGGGAUCUUGCUGUUUCUGUGGGUUUUUGUUUUUUUUUUGUUUUUUUUUUUGUUUGUUUUGUUUUGUUUUGGUUUUUUUUUGUUUUGUUUUUGUUUUUUGUUUUUUUGUUUUUUGUUUUUUUUUUUUUUGCUUCAGCACUGUGACUGAGCUUGCCGGCUGAACUUCUUUUGCUGCUCUGUUGUUGGGAAGCCCAGAGCCAGUGCGUGCCCCGCCAAGACCCAGGACCGCCCUCGUUUUCCGCCAGCCGGGGUCCGAAGGACCAUCCAGCGCCGGAAGAAGAAGGGGAAAAAGAAGAAGAAGAAAGUUAUUGUGCAGUUGUAAUUGCGACCAGAGAAGAGUGGGAUGAGAAUAUAUGAGAAGAACAGCUCUGCAGACACCAAGGGAUGCAAACAUCCACCUGCAGCCCAUGAAGGAGGCCCAUGCCAGAGCAUAGGGAUGCCUGAGAGGAGGUUGUGAGCCUGUGGGAGACCCGUGGAGAGAGGGGUCCACACUGGAGCAUCCUGUCCUUGAAGGACUGCACCCUGUGGAAGGGUGACCCACGUGGCAGCACUUUGAGAAGGACUAUUGCCAGUGGGAUGGACUCACAUUGCAGCAGUUCUCAGAGAUCUGUUGCUUGUGACAUGGACUCACGUUGGAGAAGUUCACCGAGAACUGUGUCUCAUGGGAGG